UUGGACGGUGCUUGCGUCGGAUUGGUUUUGGGCGCCAACGAGUGGGGGACGGGUGAGUAACACGUAGGGAACCUGCCCAGAAGCGGGGGACAACUUUUGGAAACAGAUGCUAAUACCGCAUAACAACGUUGUUCGCAUGAACAACGCUUAAAAGAUGGCUUCUCGCUAUCACUUCUGGAUGGACCUGCGGUGCAUUAGCUUGUUGGGGGGGUAACGGCCUACCAAGGGGAUGAUGCAUAGCCGAGUUGAGAGACUGAUCGGCCACAAUGGGACUGAGACACGGCCCAUACUCCUACGGGAGGCGGAAGUAGGAAAUCUUCCACAAUGGGCGCAAGCUUGAUGGAGCAACCCCGCGGAAGGAAGAAGGGUUUCGACUCGAAAGCUCUGUGGUUAAAGAAAACACGUAUAAAUUAUCUGUUCAUACGUUGACGGUAUUUAAACAAGAAAGUCGCGGCUAACUACCUGCCAUCGCGGCGAAAUACGUAGGUGGGCAGGCGUUUUCCGGAAUUAUUUGACGAAAAAGAGGUGCCAGCCUUUUUCCAAGUUCUGAUGGGAAACCUUUCGGCUUAACCGGAAAAAUUGAUUGGAAAAUGGAAUAACUUGAUGGCAAAAGAGGGUAGUGGAACUCCAUGUGUAGCGGUGGAAUGCGUAGAUAUAUGGAAGAACACCAGUGGCGAAGGCGGCUACCUGGUCUGCAACUGACGCUGAGACUCGAAAGCAUGGGUAGCGAACAGGAUUAGAUACCCUGGUAGUCCAUGCCGUAAACGAUGAGUGCUAGGUGUUGGAGGGUUUCCGCCCUUCAGUGCCGGAGCUAACGCAUUAAGCACUCCGCCUGGGGAGUACGACCGCAAGGUUGAAACUCAAAGGAAUUGACGGGGGCCCGCACAAGCGGUGGAGCAUGUGGUUUAAUUCGAAGCUACGCGAAGAACCUUACCAGGUCUUGACAUCUUGCGCCAACCCUAGAGAUAGGGCGUUUCCUUCGGGAACGCAAUGACAGGUGGUGCAUGGUCGUCGUCAGCUCGUGUCGUGAGAUGUUGGGUUAAGUCCCGCAACGAGCGCAACCCUUGUUACUAGUUGCCAGCAUUAAGUUGGGCACUCU
rnacentral:rRNA from 2 species